rnacentral:rRNA from 1 species
GUGGGGAAUAUUGCACAAUGGGCGCAAGCCUGAUGCAGCAACGCCGCGUGAGGGAUGACGGCCUUCGGGUUGUAAACCUCUUUUAGUAGGGAAGAAGCGUAAGUGACGGUACCUGCAGAAAAAGCACCGGCUAACUACGUGCCAGCAGCCGCGGUAAUACGUAGGGUGCAAGCGUUGUCCGGAAUUAUUGGGCGUAAAGAGCUCGUAGGCGGCUUGUCGCGUCUGCUGUGAAAACCCGAGGCUCAACCUCGGGCUUGCAGUGGGUACGGGCAGGCUAGAGUGCGGUAGGGGAGAUUGGAAUUCCUGGUGUAGCGGUGGAAUGCGCAGAUAUCAGGAGGAACACCGAUGGCGAAGGCAGAUCUCUGGGCCGUAACUGACGCUGAGGAGCGAAAGCAUGGGGAGCGAACAGGAUUAGAAACCCGGGUAGUCC